UACGGAGGGGGCUAGCGUUAUUCGGAAUUAUUGGGCGUAAAGGGCGUGUAGGCGGCUUCGUAAGUCUUGUGUGAAAGCCCUCGGCUCAACCGAGGAAUUGCACGAGAAACUGCGUGGCUCGAGUCCGGGAGAGGAUAGUGGAAUUCCCAGUGUAGCGGUGAAAUGCGUAGAGAUCUGGAGGAACACCGAUGGCGAAGGCAGCCUUCUGGGCCAACACUGACGCUCAUGCACGAAAGCGUGGGGAGCAAACAGG
rnacentral:rRNA from 1 species